AGAGUUUGAUCCUGGCUCAGAUGAACGCUGGCGGUAGGCCUAACACAUGCAAGUCGAACGGUAACGGACCGCUGGGAUCCCUUCGGGGUGACCUUGGUGCCGACGAGUGGCGGACGGGUGAGUAACACGUAGGAAUCUGCCCAACAGAGGGGGACAACCCGGAGAAAUCCGGGCUAAUACCGCAUACGCCCUACGGGGGAAAGCGGGGGAUCUUCGGACCUCGCGCUGUUGGAGGAGCCUGCGUCGGAUUAGUUUGUUGGUGAGGUAACGGCUCACCAAGGCGACGAUCCGUAGCUGGUCUGAGAGGAUGAUCAGCCACACUGGGACUGAGACACGGCCCAGACUCCUACGGGAGGCAGCAGUGGGGAAUAUUGCACAAUGGGCGAAAGCCUGAUGCAGCCAUACCGCGUGUAUGAAGAAGGCCCUCGGGUUGUAAAGCACUUUCGUCAGGGAAGAAAGGUGCGGGGUUAAUAUCCCCGUACUGUGACGGUACCUGAAUAAGAAGCACCGGCUAACUCCGUGCCAGCAGCCGCGGUAAUACGGAGGGUGCGAGCGUUAAUCGGAAUUACUGGGCGUAAAGCGCGCGUAGGCGGUCUGGUCAGUCAGAUGUGAAAGCCCCGGGCUCAACCUGGGAACUGCAUUUGAUACUGCCAGGCUAGAGUGUAGUAGAGGGAAGCGGAAUUUCCGAGUGUAGCGGUGAAAUACGUAGAUAUUCGG
rnacentral:rRNA from 1 species